rnacentral:lncRNA from 1 species
GAAGAAACAGCAAGAGCGAAGGCUCUGAGGCAGGAGCAAGCAAGCCAGACAUGGACCAGGAAAAGCAAGGUUUGAAUUCGUACCUUACUCUUACUAGCUAUGACCCACUAUGGGUAAGUUAUUUACUCUGUAAACCUCAGUUUCCAUAUUAUUAAAAUAGAAACAUUACACCACAUGCC